ensembl:lncRNA novel transcript
GCGCAGGGCCCCCGCCUGGCUCUACAAGCCCGGGCCGCGGCCCCCGCCUUCCCCGCCGCCUCCCGGCGCUCCGUGCCCGCCCCACGAGGCCGGCGGCUGCUGCUACCUGGGGCCGUUGCUGCUUGUGCCGUGAGCGACGGCCAGCCAUUGUCCCCGCCGCUCCGUCAGCCGCGCCCGGCCGCGCGCGCACCGGAAGGCGCAUUGGCGUCUUGCGGGCUCCGGGCCGGGUGGGCAGGAUGGCCUCCACAAGCCGCAUGGCGCGCAUGGGGAGCCUCCGUUGAUGCCGCCGCGCCGCCCUCCGAGGCUGCAUCCGCGGAAGCCCGGCUCCCCGAGCGCUCCGGCCCGGCCCGGCGCCCCGGACCUGAGUGCGUCCCCAUGAAGGCGCCCGGGCUGGCCCAGGCGGCCGUGGCAGAGGAGACCCCGGACUGGGCGCCCGAGCUCUGCCCCAGCUCCGAGGCGCGGUCGCCGGAGCCGCCUGCCAACCGCCUUCAAGACUUCGACACGCUGGUCACCGUGGGAAAGCAACUAGAAGCCAUUUGUGUCAAGAAAAACGUUGACCUCUUGGCGAGAAUGCAAAGAAGGGAACGCUUGCUUAUACGCUGUUGGUGAACUGUCACCCCUACAACUCAGCUUGCAACCAGCCCUGGCCACCAGUUUCCCCACACUGAGCUGAAUAUCGGACAUGCCCAUCUCAGACAUUCCAGCCCAUUCUGAAAUUCCACAUCGAUUCACCUGACAAAGUCUGAAGUUCCAGGGCAAUUUAUCUGGAAAAGCUUACCUGGAAUCACGUGUCAUUUCAACCAACAACUGUUGAAGAGGACGUGGCAUUAAAACCAAGGGUAUCAAUUAUUUAUAA